GAGUUCUUCUCACACUAUAUACAGACAUCACGGUAUUAUGUGAUUUCAAAAUGUGUAAAGCUAUGGCAUGUAUAGAGACUUAGUCAUUUUGAGCGUGUUUAUAUGAUAUGGCGAAUGGUUAGCUAUUGCAAUGGCUAAUUAAGAACAUGUGUGGUGUUAUGAAUGCCUAGGUGAUAGUUUAUACCUAGAAAAUAUGAAAG
rnacentral:lncRNA from 1 species